UACAGAGGUGGCAAGCGUUGUUCGGAAUUACUGGGCGUAAAGGGCGCGUAGGCGGUCUUGUAAGUUCUGUGUGAAAUCCCUCGGCUCAACUGAGGAACUGCACGGAAAACUGCGAGGCUUGAGUUCGGGAGAGGGAAGCGGAAUUCCGGGUGGUAGCGGUGAAAUGCGUAGAUAUCCGGAGGAACACCGGUGGCGAAGGCGGCUUCCUGGACCGACACUGACGCUGAGGCGCGAAAGCUAGGGGAGCAAACGGG
rnacentral:rRNA from 1 species